rnacentral:rRNA from 1 species
GAUGAACUCUAGCUACAGGCUUAACACAUGCAAGUCGAGGGGCAGCAUGGUCUUAUCUUGCUAAGGCCGAUGGCGACCGGCGCACGGGUGAGUAACGCGUAUCCAACCUGCCUUACACUCUUGGACAGCCUUCUGAAAGGGAGAUUAAUACAAGAUGUUAUCAUGAGUAAGCAUUUUCGCAUGAUUAAAGGUUUACCGGUGUAAGAUGGGGAUGCGUUCCAUUAGAUAGUAGGCGGGGGUAACGGCCCACCUAGUCUUCGAUGGAUAGGGGUUCUGAGAGGAAGGUCCCCCACAUUGGAACUGAGACACGGUCCAAACUCCUACGGGAGGCAGCAGUGAGGAAUAUUGGUCAAUGGACGAGAGUCUGAACCAGCCAAGUAGCGUGAAGGAUGAAGGUUCUAUGGAUUGUAAACUUCUUUUAUACGGGAAUAAACGAAUCCACGCGUGGAUUUUUGCAUGUACCGUAUGAAUAAGGAUCGGCUAACUCCGUGCCAGCAGCCGCGGUAAUACGGAGGAUCCGAGCGUUAUCCGGAUUUAUUGGGUUUAAAGGGAGCGUAGAUGGGUUGUUAAGUCAGUUGUGAAAGUUUGCGGCUCAACCGUAAAAUUGCAAUUGAUACUGGCAGUCUUGAGUACAGUUGAGGUAGGCGGAAUUCGUGGUGUAGCGGUGAAAUGCUUAGAUAUCACGAAGAACUCCGAUUGCGAAGGCAGCUUACUAACCUGUAACUGACAUUGAUGCUCGAAAGUGUGGGUAUCAAACAGGAUUAGAUACCCUGGUAGUCCACACGGUAAACGAUGAAUACUCGCUGUAGGCGAUAUACAGUCUGCGGGCCAAGCGAAAGCAUUAAGUAUUCCACCUGGGGAGUACGCCGGCAACGGUGAAACUCAAAGGAAUUGACGGGGGCCCGCACAAGCGGAGGAACAUGUGGUUUAAUUCGAUGAUACGCGAGGAACCUUACCCGGGCUUAAAUUGCAACCGAAUAUGGCGGAAACGCUAUAGCUAGCAAUAGCGGUUGUGAAGGUGCUGCAUGGUUGUCGUCAGCUCGUGCCGUGAGGUGUCGGCUUAAGUGCCAUAACGAGCGCAACCCUUGCCGAUAGUUACUAACAGGUCAUGCUGAGGACUCUGUCGGGACUGCCAUCGUAAGAUGUGAGGAAGGUGGGGAUGACGUCAAAUCAGCACGGCCCUUACGUCCGGGGCUACACACGUGUUACAAUGGGGGGUACAGAGGGCUGCUACCACGCAAGUGGAUGCCAAUCCCAAAAACCUCUCUCAGUUCGGAUUGAAGUCUGCAACCCGACUUCAUGAAGCUGGAUUCGCUAGUAAUCGCGCAUCAGCCACGGCGCGGUGAAUACGUUCCCGGGCCUUGCACA